rnacentral:rRNA from 1 species
CCUAGGAAACCUUGUUACGACUUUUACUUCCUCUA